AGGGCACCACCAGGAGUGGAGCCUGCGGCUUAAUUUGACUCAACACGGGAAAUCUCACCAGGCCCGGACACCGUAAGGAUUGACAGAUUGAGAGCUCUUUCUUGAUUCGGUGGUUGGUGGUGCGUGGCCGUUCUUAGUUGGUGGAGCGAUUUGUCUGGUUUAUUCCGAUAACGAACGAGACUCUGGCCUACUAAAUAGAGACAGGAUUAUUACUGUCUUGGAUUCUUCUUAGAGGGACAAGUGGUUUUCAGCCACACGAAAUUGAGCAAUAACAGGUCUGUGAUGCCCUUAGAUGUCCGGGGCUGCACGCGCGCUACACUGAAGGAAUCAGCGUGCUAAAACCAUUGUCGAAAGGCAUUGGUAAACCCAUUAAAAUCCUACGUGAUUGGGAUCGGGAAUUGCAAUUAUUUCCCUUGAACGAGGAAUUCCCAGUAAGUGUGGGUCAUAAGCUCGCGUUGAUUACGUCCCUGCCCUUUGUACACACCGCCCGUCGCUGCCCGGGACUGAGCCGUUUCGAGA
rnacentral:rRNA from 1 species